rnacentral:rRNA from 1 species
CAGUCGCCGCGGGAAUACGUAGGUGGCAAGCGUUGUCCGGAAUUAUUGGGCGUAAAGGGCUCGCAGGCGGUUUCUUAAGUCUGAUGUGAAAGCCCCCGGCUCAACCGGGGAGGGUCAUUGGAAACUGGGAAACUUGAGUGCAGAAGAGGAGAGUGGAAUUCCACGUGUAGCGGUGAAAUGCGUAGAGAUGUGGAGGAACACCAGUGGCGAAGGCGACUCUCUGGUCUAUAGCUGACGCUGAGGAGCGAAAGCGUGGGGAGCGAACAGGAUUAGAUACCCCCGUAGUCCCUGUCUCUUAUAC